rnacentral:rRNA from 1 species
UACGUAGGGGGCUAGCGUUGUCCGGAAUCAUUGGGCUUAAAGAGCGUGUAGGCGGCCCGGUAAGUCCGCUGUGAAAGUCGGGGGCUCAACCCUCGAAUGCCGGUGGAUACUGUCGGGCUAGAGUGCGGAAGAGGCGAGUGGAAUUCCUGGUGUAGCGGUGAAAUGCGCAGAUAUCAGGAGGAACACCGAUUGCGAAGGCAGCUCGCUGGGACGUAACUGACGCUGAGACGCGAAAGCGUGGGGAGCAAACAGG